AGCAAUGCAACUCGUCAAGAUAAUCUUCGUUAUAGCUAUAACAACGGCUUUCUCCAUCGCUCUCACAAUGAAAAGUGUUGUCGAAGUUGAAGAGAAACAACCAUAUGAGCAUAGUAUUGAUACAUCAACGACAUUGUCUCAAGGGCUUAUCAUGCAUGAUGAAAAGAAGCUAAUGCCUUCAAAAAGGUUGAGUCGGUUCCUCACAGAAGAAAAAAACCCUAGAGCAGCUGACCACUGCUACAAAGACAAUGAAAUAUGCCAUAUUCAGCAGGGUAAAAACCAUAAAUGUUGCAGCAACAAGUGCAUGGACUUAAAUACAGACAAACACAACUGCGGUUCAUGCAAGAGAAAGUGUAAAUACACAGAAGAUUGUUGCAGAGGAGAGUGUGUACUGCUUUCUCUUGAUAAGAGGCACUGCGGGAGGUGCAAUAACCGGUGCCAGGACGGAGAAUUUUGCGUCUAUGGAAUGUGUAAUUAUCCAUAAGAAGGAAUUGGGAUGAGGUUCGUUAUUUAUUCAUAAUACAAUAAUAAAAUAAAAUAAAAAACCCACAUUUGGGUGGUUCUCCCACGAUUUAUAUUGCUAAUUACUUCUUUUUAUAAUGUUGAUAAAAAAACGAAUAUAAUUUUUUUCAACCCUCCAGGAUUUAUCUCUAUGUAAUACUACAAUGAAAUUUAAGUAACACGUAUUUUUUCCUUAUCAUUGAUCGCAAUUCACACAACUUUUGGGUUAACGACGUCAAAGGGGAAACAUAUAAGAAUAUAUUUUUGAGUUAAUAUAAUUCUAUGAAUUCAUGAGUUCUGCUCAUUGUUUUCUAACUAAAAUUAAAUCAGAUUCAAGUGGUGUGGUUUUCUUGGGAUCGUUAAUCAUAUUUAUUCAAAUGCAAAGAAAAUUAAUUCAAUCUCCUCAUAUCCAUUCCUUUCAUGAAUUAUAUAUAUAUAUAUAUAUAUAAAAGGGCGGAUCUAUAUACAAGACUUGGGUGGGCUAUAGUCCAGGUUAAAAUUUUAUCAAUAUAUUUUUUUUGUACUAUUAUUAUAUCAAUCCAAGUUACAUUUAAUUAAAUUAGCUCAAGAAAAAUAAGUUUUGUCCAUAAAAUUAGCAACCUUCUUUUUAAUUAAAAUUUCUAUCUUUUUGAGUUAAGAGAGUCAAAUUCAAAAAUCAUAUUCCCAUCGUGCUAGACUACUUAUUGUUUGUCUACAUAUUUAACUCACAAAAUUUAACAAAAGCAACACAUCUUUCUUUCUCCAUUUAUUGUAUGGUACUAUCCAUCACACAAAUUCAACUCAAUCUUGUCUUAACUACUAAAACAUUACUUCAAACUUUAAAAGAUGUUGGAUUUGAUAUUCUCCUUGCACAUGUGCAAUCUGUUUGCACACAAUAUGAGAUUGACGUGCAUCAUAUAAAAGGCUACAAGUCAUUCAUGUCAGCAACAAGGAUUGGUGAGAAUUUACUAACAUUGUCAUUAUAAUAUACUUAACUGAGCAAUAGAUUUUUAUUUGGAAGAGUUGAAUUCUAGAUUCAAUGAUGGGACAAUAAAACUUCUUGUACUUGGCUCUUUUUUAGAAUCUAAGGAUAACUUUAAAUCAUUUAAAGUUGAUGUUAUUUAAAGCUGAUGUUAUUUAAAGCUUGUUGAUAAUUUUUAUCCUGAAGAUUUCAAUGAAUAAGAGAUGCAUUUUUAAGAUCUCAACUAAAGUAUUAUCAAAUUGAUUUGAUUUAUCAUAAGAGCUUUCAGAAUAUGUCUACCAUUUUUGAAUUAUGUAGAUGAUCGAUUAAUGAAAACAAAUAAGUUGUAACACAAUCAUUUGAUUAACAAGUUGAUUCGUCUUAUUUUGACUUUGCAAGUUUUCAAUACUGCCACCAAAAAGUGAGCAUUUUUAGCUAUGAAGCAUGUUAAAAAUAUGUUUCAUAAUAAAAUAAAAGAGGAGUUCUUAGCAUAUUUUAUGAUGAUUUACACUGAACGAGAGUUUGUUGAAGAUAUCUAUUUAGAUUCGAUUAUAGAUGAAUUUUAUUCCACAAAACAUCGAAGGGUGCAAUUUCAAUAGUGAAUUUAUUUUUACUUUCACUUCAAUUUUAUGUAUUUUCAAAUUUAUUUUUUUAAUAUUUUGAGUCAUGUAUUUGAAUUAAAAUUUUAUUGUUAAUUUUAUAAAUUCAUGUUCAUGAGUUAAUGAUUGAUCUUAAAAAAAAUUAUAUAUUUGUUUAGCAACCCAGGGCGGAAUAAAUUUCUGGCUCCGCCCUUGUGUGUGUGUGUGUGUUAGUUGGUUAUUGGCUGCAAUUCUAAAAGUACAUAAAUUGCAAUUAUUUUUAUCCAAAUUAUUUUGUUCUCACUUUAUGGUUGAAAUAGUAGGUUAUGAGCAUAUAUAGAGGUUGUCACACUUUAUGAAUAUAUGGCAUCGCAGUUUUGUAGGAACCGUUUGCUCUUCUUGGAGUAUAUUUUUUGUGUUUGAACAAUACCUAUAUUUCUAAAGUUUCUUCAUUUGUUCGGCUGGGACAAUAACAUGUGUGUGUGUGUUUAAUAAGCAUGCAAGAAAUGUUCCUUUUUAAGAAUUUACGAAUUACCUUUGCGUCUUAUGUAAAAUCAGAUUAGAAGUGAAUUAUUAUGCGACCUUAAGCAAAGUCAUCCUUUAUUAUCUAUAACAUAAUGUUAUUCUUCUAAGUGCGUGUUUGGCGCCGCGACUGCGACUGUGUUUACAGAAAAACAUUAUUGUCAUGUGUUUAGUUACAAUCUAUUACUGUUUGUGGGACCAUGACCAUUUGCGGUUAAACCGCAAGACAACCAAAAGCAACUUCAAGCUGUUUUUUGUGCUGAGUUGCAAACUGUGUUUAUAAACAUAGUAAAUAGAGACGCGUAAGAAGAAGAACAGAAACAGAGCAAUGAACAGUGCAUAGUGGAGAGCAACUCCCUCAGUUUACCACCGGCUUUCACCAUUUCCACUGCCAAACACUAAUCUUCCUCUUCCUCUUCCCCUUCUCCUUCUCAUUCGUCUUCUGCAUUAUCCAUUGUUCAUGUUGCAUGUGAACAGUGGAGAGCAGCUCACAACCGGCCUCCGCCGUUUCCACCGCCAGCCACUUCUCCUUCUCCUUCUCCUUCUCCUUCUCCUUAUGCAUUCUCCAAAGUUCACGUGAACAAUGAAUAGUGGAGAGAAUCUUCAAUGUUCAUGGUUGGACUGGGUCCGACCCACAUCUAAAUGCCCAGUGUCUGGGUCCGACCCAAUAAAAUAAAAAAAAUCCAAAAACAUUUCUCAGAUAAUAUGUUUUAUUUGAAAAACCAGUGUUUAACAUUAUUUAAUGACAUUACAUAAUUAUAUUAGAAGAAGAUCGCAUGAUGACGUAGCAUUUGCAGAAUUUGAUCGCAAUCCCAAUUUUGUUCCUGAUGAUAUUUUACCUGAUGUUGUUGCACGCUCAGGAAGCCAUGAAAACUGUAGUCUUUGUCAGAUGGAUCUCGUACGUGAUGGAAUUGCAAAUAGUUUAAUGGAACAAUAAAAAAUACUUUAUAUAAAUUAUUGUUUAUUUCAUGAUGUAAUAGCAGUAGUUAAAUGUACAAUAUUUCAAUUAAAAAUCAUUAAUAUUAAUAUGUCUUUUUUAGUUAUUUUAUAACCUCAAUUUGAAAAGCAUUAUUAACCAAACACAUUAAACUACUUUUUGUUCAACCUCAAUUUCAACCACAGUUUUAACCAAACAUAUAUUUUUUUCAAAUCAACCUCAACUAAAAGUACUUUUUAUAAAAACAACUUUUUUCAAACCACAACAGCUACCACAAUUCCAAACACACUCUUAAUAAAGAUCUUUUCAAUCGUUUUUAUUUUUUUAAAAUAAGAAAGUUUAAUUCUAGUAAAACUUGAAGUGUGUGUAUGUGUGUGUUAUUAACAAAAACGAAAGUAUGUAGGUUAAAUACUUUAGCAUUUUUUACUGUUCACCAUCUCAUAAUUAAUUGUGAAUAUUAACAAAAACUAAAGCAUAUAGGUUAAAUACUAUAACAUGUUUUACUGUGAAUUGUAAUAGUGAGUUUUUUUUAAAAAAAAAUUAUUUUGGUCCUCAAACUUUUUUCUUAUAUAGUUGGGUCAUUUUGAGCUCAAAUUAGUACCCAAUUGCAUGUUUUUUUAGAACAAAUGGUUGAAUUGAAAGAAAUAAGACUAAAGUGAAAAAAGCAGGUAAAAUAGGUGAUAAUUUUAAAUUUUAUGUUAAAAGUUCAUUUUAGCCUUACAUGUUUUUAACUAUUAGGUAAUAGGUCUCUUUAAUUUUCAAAAAUUUAAUUUUGGUGUCAAAGUUUAUUUCCCACAUUUUUAGUUCUUUUUUGGUUAGAGGACAGAGAGGAAUUCUCAUAUUCUAGUGUAGAGAAAAGAAGUUGUUAUUGACGACAAUUCUAGCCAUCAAUAGGUUGGAUUUAAUGAGGUAGAUUUGACCGCGAGAAUAAUUUUGGGUUUGAGAUGUCUUUUUAGUUUGUUUUUGAGAUAAUACUCUAUUAAAAUAGUUUGAUUUUAAAAUGUAUUUUUUGUUUUGCCAAACAUGACUUUAAUCUAAAUUAAAUAAAUAUUUUAAUUUUUUAAAAGAUCAUCUUGCCAUUAAUUUCAAGUUCCCCAUAUUUUUUAACCCCUUCAUAUUUAAUAUUUGAAUUUAUAAUCUACACGCGAUGUAUUUUUUUAAUAUUAAAUAAAUCAGUUUCCUUCUAUAAAAAUAAUAAAAUAUCUUUUUUUUAAAUACAAUUUUAUUUUAAAUUACAUACAACUAAAUUUCUAAAAAACUAAAAAGAGGAGCAUAAUCAUAAUCUUGCCCUUAAACUCUACUUCUUCUUGCUUUUGUCGGCGAUGGGCUCUGUACCCCCCGCAGGUGGCUAGAAAUGCGACAACCAACGCUACAGUUGCCAUCUAAGAGUGCGAGGGAUUGCCCCUCGCGCUGCGCAGCCUCCAACGUGAGGCUUCUUCCUCGAGAUAGGCUUCCAGCAGCGCUUGACAGUGCUGGCGUGAGGCUUUAGCAGCAGCUAUGGGUUGCUGCUGAUGAAGCGCUGGCAACCUCUCACGCCUGGCACUACUUACAGCAGCGCCCAUGAUAGCCAUGAAAAUUGACCUUUUUUUUUAGAAUUUCUGGUAAAUUCCGACCAAAAUAUCAUAUCCUAGCCAGAUUCAAAUAAUCGAGUCAAAUAUGAUCAAAACAAUAGCAAUUUAUAUUGGUUUUUAAAAAAUACAGUAGAGAAAAAAUAAUUUUAAAAAAAUAAUUUUUUCACAUAAAAUUAAUUCAAAAUUAAUGUGAAUAACAAUUAGAAUAUGCAAUAAUCCUAAUUGUCUAAUGAUUACUUUGAUACCAGUAUUUCAAAAUCCUUAUACAUAGCAGAAACUAUAAAUUUAAAAUCUUUUCAAGAGUUUCAAUGAUCUUGUUAGAUAAAUUUAGGGUUGUUUAGGGUUUAUAUAAUGAAUACUUGAAGAUAAAUUUUUUUUUUUUUACUUUGAAUAAUUGCUUUAAGGUUGGGUUAAUGUAAACCACUAUCUAAAUGUUCGGCUUUUAACAGUAAUCUAUACGAACCACUAGUUAGAAAUCUCUUAAACCCUUUUAGGUGAGAAAAAUUCUUAUAUAUUUAAGUGCUAACUUUUUAUAUAUAUUUAGGUAUUUCUAUAUUGUACUCUUCUAACAUGAAAUAAGAGACAUUAUUUUUUAUUUAUAGGCAAACUUAAAAACUCUAUAAAUAGCAAAAUAUUAAUUUUUCACUUAAAUAAUAUCACAUAUAUUAUUUUAGUCUAAUUUUAGAAAUUUAUUUAAUUAAGUCCUUACUUGAUUGUUUCUAGGUCUAAAAUCAUAAUUCUAUGUGUUAAUUACAUUCUAGUCCUUAAUUUCUAAAAUUUAUUUACAAUCAAGUCACACUUGAUUAAUCAUCAUUUUAAUUUCUGACCAAUGGUUCUUAUAUGUAUGAGUCAUUAGAUUCUCUAAUAAGUUGACCAAAAUAUAAAUUAUAAAAUAAAAUAAUUUAUUAUUAAUUCAAUAAUCGAUUGAUUUAUAUUUAAAGAUCAAGUACAAUAUCUAGCAACCUAUUAUGAUCCCUUAAAUAUUAGAAAAGUAAUAAGUAGUUUGACUUAACAUUUCAGUGAUUGGUUUCUCAAUAUAAUAUUAUUAUUGCUUCAUCAACAAUGUUAUGAUUUAGACAUUAUAGCAUGAAGUGUGUCUACUCCGUCAAAUUAUGUUUGCUCUUAACACCAUAGUCAUUGAUUCUUUGAAUAAGUUUUGAAACUAUUUUGAAAUCUCAUUCCACCUUAUGCAAAAAUUUACAAUCAAUACUAUUUGAGAACAAGUAAAAUGUUUUUCUUAAUUCACCUCGAGUAAUGAAUCAUCUCUUGAUUACUUAAAUAUCUUUAUAUAGUUCAUAAUAUACUCAAUAUUUAUUCAUUUGUUACCCUUGAUUAGGACAAUGUGUAACAUGAUCAUAGCAUAACAUUCUCUAUAUAAAAAAACUCAGUGAUUUCAAGUCUAAAAAUCACUUAUACAACCGUCACGUUAGUCUUUUUAUAAACAAUAAUGAUCUCUUCAUAUGAAAUUCUAUCAGAGUCAAUUCAGUGUACAUGUUAUCUGACAAGUAACAUAUUAGUUCUAGAUAUCCCUCAUCCCUCAUCCCUCAACUUAUUAGUACAACUAUUUCAUUUCAUAAAGGAAAGAAUAUAAUAUGUAUCAUUCUUAACUACUCUAAUUAAUAUCCAGUUUUAAGAGAGUAUUGGUCAAGAACAUUUUAUAAAAAAUACUUUGAUGCAAUAAUAAUUUUAUAAUUAUAAUAAUUUUAUUUGUAAAAUAUUUUUGUUUCAAAAAUUUUAUUAUUAUAGAUUUAUUAAUCAAAUAUUUAAUAAAUACUAAAAAUAAAUAAAUUUUUAUUAAUAAAUUAAAUAUAUUUAGAUGAAUAAAAUCUGCGUAACUAUUUAAUUGAUUAUCCCUAAUUGGAACAUGAUCUGUAAGGUUACAACUUAGAAGAAGCCAACAAAAAUAUCUGCACUUGAGACGUUUAAAGCUGCUAAUAUCUCUUAUCUCUUCCUUCGAUUUCCCACCUUACCUCGCCCGGAUAGUUGAGAGAAAAAUGUUUUCUUCCUCAGUCUGCAUGCCGAUUUCACCAUCUUCCCACUCUCUCUUGAAAGCAAAUCACAAUCCUCUUCAGGGAUCGAAACCAUCAUGUUCUCCUUCGAAAAUAAGAGCUUCUUAUUUGACUACUCGAGCUCUUCUCUCAACUACCAAAGAAACAGUGUUGAAGGACUUCCAUGAGCGAAGAGCUCUCAAGGCAUAGCUAACCCCACCUUCUUUGUUUCUUGCAUUUAUGUCUUUUGUAGCUUCUUGGUUAUUCUUUUUUGAAGUGGACGUUCCCGUUUUACUCAGGAAACCCAAAUACCUAAUAACCAGAUAUUUCUCUUGUUUCAGCAAUGUCAUAUAUACAAUCAUGAUGUUCAAAAUUCUGUUUUCUUUGCUUUGAGAAAAUCCCAUCUUCUUUUAAUCUUUUCCUUUGAAUGUCAUGGAUUUUACACCCUUCAUCUGGAUUCAUUUUGAAUUUUGGCCUUUCAAUUAUAUUUGAGAACUAUAUUUUUGUUGUGUCCUCUACAGAUUAUCUCAGGUUUGCAGAAUUUUAAUAAAGAAAAUGUUGCUUCAGUUGUUACUGCUGCGGACAAGGUUUGCAGAGAUUCUUUGUUAUCAGAUAUAUAAGUUGCUGCGGUUUUUUAUUUUAUUUUAUUGCGAUCCAAUAUCAUUAAAUGUGCAGGGGGGAGCAACUCAUGUGGAUAUAGCUUGUGACCCAGAAUUAGUGAAGCUUGCCAUUAUCCUAACUUCCCUGCCUGUAAUAUUUCUCACUCUUUAAAUGGCUAUAGCUUGAUUCUUCUUUUUUUCGUAUUAUAUACAUAAUCAGAGAAAACUUUCUAAUAAUUUUUAGAAAACUAUUUUAACUGGGGAGUCUCAAUGACUUUCAUAUGCACAUGCUUAUAUAUCGCUUCUAUUUUAUCACAUUUGCAUGUUUUAAUUUACUGAAAUACGGAUUAGAUGACAUUCUAGGUGUUUUUACCACAAUAUAUCUUUCUUAAAGCUUACAUGCUUUUCAUGUCACAAGUAAUGGUCCCUUCAACACCAGAUUUGGAAGUUCCGGGUUGGUGCAGGGUUCCUCCCUUCAUAAUGUCAGCAAUAAACUAAAGAAAAAUAGAAAGGGGAAAUGUCAUAGAAACAAGCAUUUUGUAAGACCAAACCACUAAUUGGCAUCUAUUCUGGCCUUAAAUCCUGAUGUUAGGAUAUUUCAGUGAUUUGUUUGCACUAUCAAAACCGUCAAUUGCUGCCCAAUGAUCGAACUUAAAGACCUUAAUUCUUAAUAGCAAGAUCCUGAUAGAGCUGAAAAAUGUUCAGAGUCGUGCAUGUAGAUAUAGCUCCAAACAUGUUCAAAAUCAUACAUACCAUUUUCUUUUUCUUUAUUUCAUUUGGAAUUUCCCAAACUUGCAGGUUUGUGUUUCUUCAGUGGAACCAAGAGCAUUUCUAGCUGCUGUUGAAGCAGGAGCACAGAUGGUUUGAUCACAAAUUAACUCAUUUGCUUUCACUUUAUUUUUUACGCAAAUCUUUGAUCUUGGACAUCAAUGGCUUCUUAAGGAGGCAUAUGUAAGCUGAAAUGCAAAAUGAGAAAGCAAUUGUGUUGCCAUGUUAACAAGACUGAUGGUCUUUACAGGUGGAAAUUGGAAAUUAUGAUUCGUUUUAUGAUCAAGGAGUGGUUUUCUCUCCAGAGAAGGUAUCAAUCAACUCUUUAUAUGAUCAUGAGAAAGUAUUUUCUUCAGUUAUAAUUGAUUUCUGGGGUUGAACCUUACUCUACACGGUACUUUGAGCAAAUACUGUUUCCAAUUUCAGGACUUUCCAGUUCUCAAUGUCAUCAAUUAUCUACACUGUAUAGUCCAUCCUGUUCCCAACAUCUGUCACUAAUGCCCCAAAAUAAAAAGGCCUCGGAUAUUACUUUUUCCAACUGUCCAGAUUAGUCUUUCUGGUUUCUACAGUUCUGUUUCUGCUUUCUUAUUUAUAGAAGAAACUUGUGCAGAUAUUAAAUCUGACAAAGGAGACUAAAAGGAUUCUUCCAUCCGUGACAUUAUCAGUCACUGUUCCUCACACCCUAAGUCUCCCCGAUCAGGUAACAAGCAGCACUCGUCUAUUAUGGAAGGAAAGCACUAUCAUAUUUUGUGCACUGAUAUUCUUUUUAAAUGGAGAACAGGUCAAGCUUGCAGAGCUAUUAGAACAAGAAGGAGUUGACAUUAUACAAACUGAAGGAGGAAAGUGUUCUAAUCCUUCAAAAUCUGGUGUUCUAGGUUUGAUUGAGAAGGUAAUGCAAAACAAUCUUGCACUAUUUAUGGAACUUUUUGAUCAUAGAAUAAUUGCGGAGUAGGAAAGGAAAAUAGGAAAGUUUGGGUUUCUUAAGCAACUUAAUCAAUUUCUGGACCAAGCUAAUUUGAAAGAAAAAACCAAGAAGGAUAGGGAAAUGACUCAUAAAAAGAGAACAAAACAUUGGAUCAAAGAGGGGAAUUAAGCCCUGAUGUUCUACAUGAAAAAUAGACAUUUGGUAAAAAAACUCAUUUUUGGUUGUUAAAAAUUGCAGCUCAUCCUUCCUUCCUCAUUUUUGCUGUGAUCAUGUCCUAAAUUACUUUCGAAAUGUUUGAGUUGCCAUUCUAAUUAUCUGGUAAUACCUUAAUGUAUAUUUGACACAUCUGAUUAUGAGUUGAAACUGCUGAUGUUGAAAAAUAUUAAUGCAUUCAGAAUACAGAAGUUUCGUUAUUUAAGUGUGAGUUUUUAAUUAAUUAUUCAUAAAAAAGCUAGUUUUGAUUGUGUAUUUGUGAUAUUUCUUUUUUUCUUUUUCUAUUUAAACUUACCAGUUCGCAUUUCACUGUAGGCAACACCAAGCUUAGCAGCAGCAUAUUCCAUCUCAAGGGCUGUGAAGAUUCCAGUUAUGUGUUCAUCUGGACUUAGUGCAGUUACAGCACCAAUGGCCAUCACAGCAGGGGCAGCUGGUGUGGUAUGAAAAUUAAUUAACUUUCAUGAAUUUGAUCAUUCACAACUCUACAAAGUUGUGCUACAUAGAAUCAUUUCCUGUAGAAAAGCCAGCUGCUGUAACGCUGCAAUCAGGGCUGUGCAUGCACUCCAUACAUCUAUGGGGCAAACCAAGCACGAUGUGCUUGCUCGUUCCCAAUUGCUGCAGCACGCAGGCACCACUGCAGUUAACAAAUUCUUUACUCCUGAGAAUAAUGCUGACAUUAGCAUCACCUUUGAAACAGGGAGUCGGCUCAGCAAUUAACAGGCUAAAUGAUGUGGUGGCAAUGAUUGCAGAAGUCAGAAGCAUUGCAGAUUCAUUAGGCAGUUCAGCUGAUAGACGCACCAAAUCUGAAGAAAAAUCUGUGACAUUGUAAUUAGUACAUGUCCUGUGACUUAGGAAGACACUAGUUGAUCAAGGAAAGCACGAGCAGAAUAUCAAAAGUUCCAGCGAUUAAACAGAUGCGAGUAUAAUAAAACAACGUAGAAUUCCCGCAUCUAUAAGUUAAGGAGCAUUCAAGACUAUGAGAUAUGAUAGCAAUCAAGAAGAAAUUUGCAAGAUUUCAACCAUUCCUUCUUCUUUCUCUUCAAUCUCCUCUUUCUCACUCUUCACUUUCCAUAGCCAUCUCUCCUUUUCCUUUCCAAUUUCUCUUCAAUCUUGUGUUUUCUUCACAAAUCAUCAAGAAUUAUUCAUGGGUUUUUCGCUUGAAGAAGGAAUUUUGGAGAUUUUAUAGAGAAAAUAGAAAGUUUUCAUUUUUUUUUCCCUCGUGGCUGUUUAGCCGAUUAUUAUUUACAAAGGGAGAGAGUGAUGGAUUUUUUUUUUUUUUUCCUUUUAGCAUAGAUUUGUUAGUGGGCGACGAUCGAUUUAAUUUAUAUGUUUUUAAAUGAUUUAAUUAAUUUAAAUAAAUUAAAUUAAAUAGAUAACAUAGUUUAUUAAUUAUAUCUUUAUGUGAUUUCUAGAUAAUUUCUAGAUAAAUAGGGGACAACUAUUUAUCUAAAUAUAUCAUACAUAUUUCAUCUAUUUAAUUAUCUAAGGUAAUUAUGUAGAAUCUAAUUUUAUAGCAUUAAACAUAUUUGAUUCAUGAUAACCUUGAAUAGCUUAACAAGUUAUCUAUGAAUAGAAUUUUGAUCUUAUACAUAUAAAAUAGAAAGAUAAUAAUUCAUGUUCAUAACAUGUAUUUAAUAUAUCAAUGAGAGAUUUAUUAUUUUAAUUAAGUUUCAUUUCAUAACAUUAAUGAUAUAUCAUAUAUAUCAAUUAUACAUAAACAUACAUCCCUUGUAUGUCAUUCUAAACUAAUUCCCUCGAGAUAUCAAAGGAAAUUAGAUGGUCAAAACCUAAUUCAAAGUCUUUUGCAAGUACCAUGGUUAUAGCCUUCACCACCAUUAUUUCUUCAUAUUGGUUUAAAAAAUAAUUUUCCUAUCUAAAUUCAUAUAUUUUUAAAUUACAUAACAUUUACAUAAUUGAAUAAGAAAACUGGAGUUACAUUUAAGAGGAAUUAGAUAAGAAAAGAAUUUUACAACUCGGGAGAAAAAUAAAGAAAAGGUAGGACAUGCAAACCCUAUUUAUUAUUAUAAUCAUUCAACUAUAAAAACAUAAUCAUAUUGGUCUUUAAUGUUCAUAAUCAUCCAUCAUGCAUAAUAAAAUUUUAAUAUGCAUAAUAAAAUUAUUGCAUGUUUCAAUUCUAAUUAUUGCCUUUAUGUGUAAUUUUUUAAAUAAUAUUUCUAUCAUUUAUAAAUAUUAAAUAAAAUCCAAUUUGAUAAUUUCUCAAACAUAAUAAAAAAAUUUUAAUAUAAAUUAUAUUGGAAAAAAUAAUAAAAAAAUUAAUCAUAUCAAAAUUCUUAUUAAAAUCCUGAAUUAUUUUAGGAUCAAAUAAAUAAAACUUUAUGGCUUAAAAACUCUUUAUUUGAGAAAAAUAUAAACAUUAUUUAAUUAAACAUUUUAAUUAAAUCCUAAUCUAAUUAGAAUGUUACAAAACACAAAAAAAAAUUGAAUUAAAAUUUUAAUUAAAUCUUAAUCCUAUUAGAAAAAUUAAUUCUUUAAUUAAUUUGAUUUUGAUUUGAGUUUUAAUCUUAAAAUAUAAAAUUAAUAUUUUAUAUAAGGAAGAAUAGAAUUAUAAUUCUAUCACAAAAGUCAAAAUAAAUUACACUCUCAAAACCAAGGUUGUCAAUUCCGUUUCGGUAGGUAUUUUGUUUUUCAAUUGGAAUGAAAUGUUUCAGUUUUUGUUUUUCAAUUGGAAUGAAAUGUUUCAGUUUUGGAGUGUUUCGGCGUGCCGUUUCGGGGUUGUACUGUUCACACACACACACACACACACACACACAUAUAUAUAUAUUCAAUAAACAUAAUUCAAAUUCAAGAUAAAUUAAUUAUAAAUUAUACAAUACAAACACAAUGCCAAACAAAUAUAAUUUUAAAAUUUAAAAUAUUUCUAAAUAGUCAAGAUUAAAUAGAUUUUUAACUUAAAGUAAUUCAACUUAAACAAAAUAUCAAAAUAUUAUGAAAGUAAAAUGUUUUAACACAAAUAUUUUAAAUAUAAAGUUAGGUCAAUGUUAUCAAGGCUAAUGGAAUUUAAAGCAUCCAUUGUUUUGCUCAAAUUUCUACAAAGUAUAAACAUGAAAAAAACAACAUGAAUAUAAACCAUAUAUAUUAGUGAUAAAUCUAAUUUUAAAAAAUUAAUAUCAUUGUUAAUGAAAAUAGUAAUAAUAAUUUUCAAUAUUAUUAUUAAUGUCAUUGUUAUUGAAAAUAGUAAUGAAAAAGAGCUUUUUAUAAUUGGGUGGUUUAAUUAAUUAAAUUGAACAAGGUUCAAUUUGAUUCAAUGGCUUUUCAAGAGCGGAAAGGAACAUGUGGAAUGAAACUAGAACGUUCCGGGCGGAAUUUAGCCGAAAAAUCCGGAACGGACCGAGAUUUAAAAUGAGAUGAAAUUUGUUCCGUUUUGUUUUGUUUUUUGAAUUGGUAUGGAAUGUUUCGGUCAUUUCAGGCGAAACAGAACGGAAUUGACAACCUUGCUCAAAACCCUUUUAUAAUAAAUUGCAAGUGUCAGUGGUAUAAUAGUAAUUAUACCCCCAAAACCCUAAAAAGCACCGAGGACAGAAUCAUAAUCCUGCCCUUCUCCCUUCUUCUUCUCUUUGCUACUAUAGCCAUAUCAACGACAAUUAUGGCUACCGUUAGGCUACUGUCCAAGAGCGAUUAUGGCGUUCGAGGCUUCGCCAUGCAACACCCAUGGCACUAAGUGUUUGGCGCUGCUCACGGUAGUACCCAUGGCAUCAGGCAUUGCGUGCAGCAACGCCCACAAGGCGCCUAAUGCUACUCACAGCAACACCAAUAGCAGAUCUCCUUUUUGGUUUUCUACAAAAUUCUGGCCAGAUUAAAAAAAAUUCGGUCAAAUCUAGCUGGAAUAAUAGACUUUCAUUUUUUUUUUGAAAAAAUGAGGACAAAAAAAUUAAUUUUGGGAAAAUAGUUUUCACAUAAAAUUAAUUUCAAAUUAACACUAAUAACAAUUAAAACAAGCAAUCAAUAACCCUAAUUAGCUAACGAUGGCUCUGCUACCACCGUUGGAUUUCCCAAAACAUAUAGACGUAGUGAAAAAAUAAACUCAAAAUUUUUUAGGAGUCUUAAGGAUCCUGUUAGAAAGAUUACUUGAAGAUCAAGUAUUGUUUUUAACUUUGAAUAUUUGCUUCAAAGGUAAGGUUGUUGUAAACCAUGAGACAUCUAAUUAUAUGGCCUCUAACAGUAAUUCAUAUGAAUCACUAGUGAGAAAUCUCAUAAAUCCUUUUAGGAGAGAGGGAUUGCUAUAUCUUAUAGCGCUAACUCUUUUCUUUUGUGUUUUAAGCAUUACAGUAUUGUACUUUACUCACUUUUUUCACCAUUCAUUGAAAAUAAGAGGCACAACUUUUUAUUUAUAAAGAGACUUAAAAACCCUACAAAAUAUCAAUUUGUCCUUUAAAUGAUAUCAUAUAUAUUAUUUUAAGUUAAUUUUAAAAUUUUAUUUAAUUAAGUUCCUAUUUGAUUUUUCUAGAUUUAAAAAUAUAAUUCACUUUAUAAAUUACACUCUAGUAAUUUGCUUAACAAUUUUAUGUUAUAACUCAAGUGAUGGUGUGCUUUGCUUAAGUCAAGUUCAUGGGUUUAGAGUAUGGAUUGAUACAUAGUUUAAAAAUUGUCUUUUUUAAUAAAAAAAAAGGACUGAUGAUAAAAAAAAAAAAAAGGAAGCCCGGUACACAGAUUUUCUUUAUGCCUACGUGCUUAGACUUUUUAAACAAGCUCUGGCUUGAUAUUGUGACAAUUCAGGCUAAAGAACUUGGUUCACUUUCAUAUUACUAUUUGAUUGAUCAAAAGAGGAAUUUUGUAUAUGUAAGUUUUCAAUGCAACAAAUAUUGAUAAGCAAAAUUAACAAUAAUAGUAUAACUAAAUCACUCUUACACUAUUUUUUUUUCAAUUUUAUCCUUUAAUGUUUAGUUUUUAUUGAAUUUUAUCAUUUAAUAUUGGAUUUAUUGUGAAUUGAUUUUUGUAUUUUUAUCAUAUAAUAAACUAAAAAAUUAAUUCAUUUUUUUCUUUUGCAUGACAAGGUCAUGUCAGAGCAAUUUCCACACGAUUUAAUUUAAAAUCUGGGCUAAGUACAUAAUCGAAUAAACAAAUUUCAAGUUUGAAUUGUUAUACCGAGUUUAUUGAUAAUGUCAAAAAAAUUCCCGAUGCUCUAAAUAUUAUUUUUUUUACAUUCCAAAUUUUUUAGGGUCCAAAUAGUAGCGAUAACAUGAUUAAUAACCUAAUAAAUAAACUAAAUUGAAAGUGUGUUUUGUUAUUUUAGUUAUUUUAGUGUUAGACUCAACAACACUAGUCUUUCUUUUUCUCUCAACUUAGGUCAUAAAAAAGCAUUGUAUAGUUUAGAAGUUUUUACUUUUUUUCAUUUUUAAUACCUACUUUUAGAAAGUUUCAAAUUGUAGUAUGAAACUUUAACCUUUUUUUGUGUUUCAAUCCAUGAAAUGUUAUGGAAGAGAGAGACUCGUUAAAAAAUAGCAAAGGAAAGAGAAAAUUAUUGAUUGACUACAUUUUGACCACCAUAAAGACCAAUAUUUGUGUUAAUAGGCUUUUUCUUGACAAUAGCAGCUCUUGACAAUAUUAAUGUCACUUGAAAAAUUAGAUUGAGGCUUGAAAAAAAUUUAUUUAGUUCAGUUUAAUUUUAAAUUUUUGAACAAAUGUAAAGGUGUUUGAAAUUAAAAAUGGGUUUAUUGAAGUUCUUAGGUUGCAUUUUAGUGUUUUUAGGCAAAAAGAUGGUUGAAAAUGAGAUUUUUAAGUCAAAAAACAUGAACCUCAACUUUCCACUCUAAAAGUGAUUUCUAGUGGCUCAAAAGUAAAUCGGCAAAUAACACUUCAUCAAUUAUUUAAAAGAAUAAACAGGCGGAUGAAGUGUCGUACCCUCUAAAAAAUAAAAUUAAACCAAUUAGGCGUAUAGGCCUCAACUUCAAGACUCAUACACGCCUAACUUGUUUUUCAAGGGCCAUAAAUGCCUAGGAUGGAAUACUAGACCCAAACAUAGUUUAUCAUUUUCUAGUUAUCAUUUUUUCUCUUUUUUUAAGGAUUUGUACCCAAACAAAUCUCUUUAAAUCAAUUUACUAAAUACUAUUUAAGUGAUUAUCUAAUUAUUUCAUUGUUUUUAAGAAAAUCAGGGCUAUUUAUGAUGAUAUUAUCGAUUGUUUUAUGGAUAAUUAUAUAUCAGCCUAAUAUGCAGAAUUUUUUAAAUAUUGGCUUGUUAAUAUUUAUUGAGAACAAAAUGUCUAUUUUUUAUUGUAUUUUUUAUAUAAUUUUCUCGAACUUAUUGUCCUCAAAUCUCUUCAUAUAAGUGUACAAAAAUAAUUGAUUAAUAAUUUGCUUAUUAAUAUUUUUUAAUUGAAACUUGUUUUCACAAUCAUAAUAAGUUUUUACUUAGAAAAUAAUAUUGCUCAUAAAAAAUUAUUUUCUCUCAAAAUAAAAAGAACCGAAAGAAUAAGAAGAUUAGGUUUUAGAUUAAAAAUACACUUUUUUUUCCUUUUUAAUUCAAAUCAUUAUAGUUUUUACGAUUUUUUUAUAUUGUUUUUCUCCUCCAUAAUUUUAUUUUUUGUUUUUCUUAUAAAUAUCUAUUUUUAUUAUAGUAUAAUUAAAUAAAUAAAUGAAUUUAAAAAAAAAGUUAUAAAACUCGAUCAGACCCAUAACCUAGGUCACGAGUUAGGCAGGUUAAUCUGUGUCAAUCAAAAUCGUCAUUAUUUCAGUAUCUUUUUAAAUGUUAAAGUGAUGUCAUUUUGAAAAAGAAAAUUAAAAAGUGAAAUAGAGUUAUGACUAGUUCAACCAAGGUAUGAGUGGACCCAUCAAAUCGAUCGGGUCAUAACAAGUCAUUUCUCAUUUGGUUUAAUUUGAAAACUAGCUCAAGCUAGGGGCUAAAUCGAUGAGUUAACAAGAUGAUUCAUAGAGACAUAUCAAGUUUAAUAACAGUGUGAAUAUAUUUCUAGCUUCUGCACACGGACAACUAGCUGGUUGAUGCCAAAAAUAAACCCAAUACAAACUCUUUCUCAUUUUUAAGCGUUCUUAUAUGUUGCUAAAACCAUUUUAACCAAAAAAUAGAGGAAAAAAAUAUAUAUACAAGGGUAUACAUAUGAAGCAAGCCUAAAAAGGAUUGUCUAAGUUUGUUGGUGAAAGACUGGAAUGCCAACUAAGAGUUGAUAGACUAAAAUGUCCAAAUUAGUAGUCGACUUAACCUUUCGAAGAUUGUGUGAGAUUGAUGGGUGAACCCUUUGACGGUGUCAUGGAACCCAAAAUUUUGAUUGACAAAGGAACCCACUAGUGAAAAUGCUUUAUUUAGGUGUUUUGGAAGGUUUAAUUAAAUUUAUAGAGGGCUUAAUCACAAGGGAAAUAAACUUUUAGGAGUCAAUUCGGAUGUUAAUUGAAACAAAUCAAGUUUGAGGAUUGAAAUUGAAAUUUGAAAAGUUUAAUUGGUGAAAUCAAGGGCUUAAUGCAUAAAUUUCAAAGUUUGGUGAGCAAUUAAGGACUUAAAUGAACAAUCCAUGAACUAAGGACCAACUUGCAAAACACGCGUAAUUUCAGGGGUCAAAUCAAAGAAAAUUGGAAGUUUGAUGGUCAUCUAGGGGUCCAAUUGAACAAAUCAGAGACCAAGGAUCUAUUUAUAAAAGGUGUUUAAAUUUGGAGCUGACAAUUGAAUAUGGCAGAGACGCAAUUGCAUGAAAUUAAGAAUUUAGAGGGAAAUUACAGGUAAAAUCAAAUGAAAUUGGAAGAAUAGGGAUCAAAUUGCAAAUUUCCAGAUCCUAAAUAAAUAAAUAAACCCUAAUGUAGGGAUUAGCUAAAACAACACCAUUCAAGAUACUAUACAUCUUCUUCUUUAGUUUUUGGUUGAUCAGGUAAGCAUUUUAAGGCAAAUGAAUAUGAUGUUUUUUACCACUGCAGAGCAACAACCACCACCAUUCAACUGAGAAACACCCUCUCUAUAACCCCAUGUCUUUAAAUUCAAAUGUUUAUAUCCCAUAUUUUUCUUUGAUCUCCAUAACAUCUUGUUCCUAGUCAACCAACACUAUAGUUUCAGUUGUCAUAUUGUUUGAGUAGACAUUUUCAAACGUUUGAAUGUGGAGCUACAGACCUCUAAAUAAGCAAUAAUGGAUCCGAUCGAAAGGUGUGCACCCCCUAUACCAAGAUCAGGUGGUCUCAAGCAACAUUGACGUUAGAGUUGUUCUAGCGAAGCCACAAAAAUAACCAACCUAGUUAGCCUUGUCUGGAUAUUCAUUUGCAGAAGACCACCUAACUUUUUCAUGUUCUCCCACUUAAAAACCCCUUAGAAGGUUCCCAUCAAGGUUUUAAAACCUUUCUUUAUAUAUCUAAAGGCCAAAAACACCUCACCUUGGUCUCCAAGUUUCUUACAAAACCACCUAAAAAGAGAGGUAUCUAGGAGCAUAAGGAAAAAAAAAAGGAGAGGCAGGAGAGAGAAGAAAAAAUAAACUUUAGCUAAGGUGCAAGUUAUUCAAUACAGGAGGAUUUGAAAGCUUCAGCUCUGUCUAAUGAAGUUUGAAAAUAAAGAAGAAGGAAUGCAAUAUCAAGAAUCACUUCAUAUUUGAAAAAUUUUAAGCUAAAAAGGUAUAUACAUUCAAACCUUGAAAAUGGAGUCUAUGAGACCUGUUGGAAUGAUUUAUUGUGUUUAAUGUGAAGUUUUGAAUGUUUUAACAUGUUAUUAAUUGACUUUAUACAUUACAUUGCAUGGUGUUUUGAUUUAAUAAAUGCCAAAAGUGGUAGCAAAGAGGGAGGGUUACUUUUUGUUAAUGAAAAGAUAGUCUCAGGUUCUGGAUUACUGGUUUGGUCUUUUGAAAUGACAAAAGUUGGAUUUUGAAGGUCAUUUUGUUCAUGCAUGCCUUAUGUUUUUGAAUUAUUAGUUUUGGGGAUUGAAAAUCAAUGUAUUUUAUGAGUUUCUUGCUUUUUUAUUGUUUCUUUGGUCCUAAUUAUAUUCAUCAUUGAUAAUGUGGUAUGUGAGAAUAAGGAAAACAUGUUUUAGAGGCUCAAAAUGGUCUUUCUAGGUUUGUUUUGUCAUUCCAGGCAUUCUAGUUUGGCUUUUCUGGGUUUUGACAUAUUCAUCUGUUAAAUCUUGCUUUAGGUAUUAGUUUUAGAGCUCGUUUGGUUUAAAUUCUAGUUCAUGCAAGUUCGUUUUAUCACUAUUAGUAAGUAAUCUAGGAGUUUCAUGCAUCAAUAACAUGUUUUAAUCCUAGAGUUUUCGUUUUGAACCGAAACUCAUUUUGACAAAAUCGUGUUGCUAUGUUGACCAUCGAGGCAAACGACCCCUAAUUCUUGUUCUAUGCAUUAUUUCAAACAAGAUCAUGCCCUUCUUUGUUCGAGAUCUAGUCUAAAUUGAGGUUUGAAUUUACGAAAUGACAAUGAAUGUUCUUCAUUUUUUUUGUCUUAUGUGCAUUUGAUCUGUUUUGACUGAAAGAUUUUUAAGUUUUUAUGUUUUUGUGAAGUUUGAUCUAUUUUAGUUUUGGUUUGUUUUUAUGUCAACUCGGUCUAGUCAACCCAAUCGAGUCAGCUGCUUCUAGGUCCACCUGAUCAAGUCAACUCAGCCAGGUCGACCUGGCCAGGUAAAAAAAAAGAAAAAAAAUCAAAUUUGUCUUUAGGCUUUGUUUGGAUAGUUUUUAUUGAUUUUUUGGUUUAAGGAUGUGUUUGGUAAGACCUUUUUAAUUUUUUUGGUUAGUUUUUAUUCCAAGAAGUCUACAAAUAUACAAAAAAAAAAGGUUUUUUUUGUGUGUUGCAUACAGCUAAGUCUCUCAAAAUUAAAAAAAAAAUCUUCUUAAAAAAAAUAAAAUAUAUAAUAUGUUAUAUUUUUUUAACAUGCAUCUUGGAUUUAAUAAUCAAUUCAAUAAAUCCAUGAUAAUUUUGUUAAUAUUCCAAUAAUCACCAAUUUUUUAAUUCAUGAGGAUUAAUAGUUGAAUAUUAUGGUAUAAAUGCUAGACCUCCAAGCAAGGUUGAUAUUAAAAUAUUAGGAAGUAACCAGAAAAUUCUCAUAGUUAUGGAAAUUAUAGAAAAUCUUUUUCAUAAGAAUUUAUUUAGGUAUACGAGUCCAUAAUAAAUUCUUAACAUUAGAUUUAUUCACACGAAUAAAUCUCAAUCCUAAGCCACAGAUAGACCACUGAUUAGAAAACCAUAAAAAUCUCUAAACCACUUAAAACCAUACAAAACAACUUACUUCAGGUAGAGUGCGUUAGGGGUGUUAAUAUAUUUUUUAGCCACAACUAGUACAUUAUCUUUCGAACCUUUAAUAAAACUAGUAUUCAUGAGUUUCUUAACGAUUCUGAACCAAACAACUAGACUACGACUAAUUCAAAUGUUCGAACACCUCUCGCACAGAUGCGACAUUAUCCAUGGCAAAUUAAAGCACACAAUGCUUUCUGUCUUUGCCGUCCGUCCUAUAGUCUUGAUUGAUUCAACUCAAUCACAUAGACAAUCGGACGGUGCCCCAUGUGAGAAAAAUAAAGUGGAAACGCCCAAGAAUGGUCCUUGAAAGGUCUACACUGAACGAGGGAAAAGACAGCCCUUGCAGUGUUCAACUUUGAGUGUUGAAUGUGGUCCUUCAACUGCUCAACGUGGCUGUCUGUUCAUGCCCGGGAUAAGAGGCAAAUGUUUUGGGACACAGAGAUGGAUUAUGAGUGUGUCUCAGCCAAGACAAAUCAACCAUGUACACUGGGUUCUUUUUCAUGCCUCAACAUUAUCCUCACUGGAUUUGAAUAUUAGCCACAUGAAAUAUGCUUCAUUUCCAGGAUAAGAUAAGAACUAUAGAGAGAGUUUGAAUCCUCGAACUUGAACCAAAUGAUACUAACUGAUGAGACCCAGAAUGACUUUAGCUCAGCUCCCUAUAUUCAAAUCCAAAUCAAAGCAAGCCUGCACGACCUGCACGAAUCAUAGUCUGACUAGUCCAUCUCUAGCUCAAAUGCUCGGUAAGUGGCCUUUCGCCAUCAUCAGUCAAGCCACAAUCUGGAACGCGAAUAUCUUGAUUUUGUUUAUACAAUAUGAUGUAGCAUUGGCUACAUGGAACCACAAAGGACUCCACUUGCACUCGUAUCUGGUAAUUUUUCCACCUCCCGCAUGGGACAAGCUUGUCCCAUCUAAUUCUAUCCUGUCCAUUACAGUGAUGUGCAAUCCUAUCUACUCGUUUACACACCCUAAUUGCUCAAGUAAGUUGACAAAUAAUGACGAGAAAAAUCUUGAUUGACUACGGAGCUGGUUGCCUUUCUGCAAUCUCCCUUGCUUGUUCAAUCAAAAGCUAAUGCUAAAAUCUUUGAAUCAAGUAAUCUCGGAUUAUCUAUCCCCAUCUUGAGAGUUAGUUAGAAUGGCUUUCUUGCAGCCAAACUAGCACAAAAGUAAAAUUUUGAUUCAACUCCUAGCAAAAUUCAAACUACAAACCAUAAUAGCAAGAACAAAAAUGUCCUUGGAAUGAAGUUCAACUGUUCAACAGACAGCUUUUUCAACAUGCUCUCUCAUUUUUCCCUCUUUGUAUUAGUCUUCUGAUCAAUCUAGAUUAACAAUCUAUGGGGCAGAUUUCGUCAAGCCGUUGCAAAAUAAAUCUCCUGGCCGUUAAAUAGGACCCUUCUUUUCUGAAGAGGCAAGAAGAUUUGGCAAGUUUCACGUUAGCAUCGUUGAUUGCUCAAUUCUAGCCCAAUCAGACAAGUGAAUCUCUUUCUCCUAAGCAAGUAUCUAGGAAGUUUCAAGGAUUACCUUUUCUGUCAAACACAUCAACUAACAGAUGGCAUCAACAGGCUGCUUCUUGUUAAGCCUAGAAAAGUGAAAAACUGGAAGCCAUCGUUCACAACAAAAACCAUAUCUUUAUGAUAUCUCAUUUAUCCACGAAAGGUGUGGCAUAUAUCGCAUUAAGGACCUACCAGGUUUUUAUCUCCUGAAACUGUCCUGUGAACAUCAGCCCUUGGCAAUCAAUACCAAAAGUCUAGUGGCGGCACAAACUGGUAAAUUUAACUUCAUUUUAUCUCUUUGAUUACGACUUAUGCUUUAAUUUCGGCCUAAAUAUUUGAGCUAUAAAGCUAACCCAUAGCACGAGUUCAUCCUCAUCCACAGCCUCCUUACAACAAACACUUCCUCCUUUUUUGGAGUCCUGAAACUCCCAAAUAUUUGAAAAGAAUGGCAAAUUCACGCAUAGCAAAGUUCAUCACAGAGGCUGCACCACCACAAUAUAUUAGUGUCAUGAGGCACAGAACAUCGAAGAUGCUGGAUACAAUUAGUGAAGAGGACAGAGAUGUAGCCGCAAGUGAUCCUUUUCCCAUGGCACCAACUUCUUCCACCAUUGUUACUACCAGUGCUACGUCUGUUGCUGCUAAAAAUUCAACGUACUUUUUCAAGGGGAUUCGAAGGUCUUUUUCAUUGUUUGCAAACUGAGAACUCUGUUUAGCACUUUUUCCAACUUGUUCAAAAACUUUUUUUAUUCCUCCCUUGUUUGUUUUCCACUUAAUGAAGUUAGGAAAGGAAUUGCUAUGUUGUACAAUAAAUGCUAAGUUAGUAAAUUGUAUUAUACAGCAGAAUGACAUGGGAGUAUUGUAAUUUCCAAGUUGAACAAAGUUGAAGAUUUUCAGUCGUCCUCAUAAUGCUAAGUUCCAUGUUUGAUAUAUUUAGUAGCUUUUUUUCUUGCAUCUGUUAAGAAAAUAUUUAGCUUUUCUACUGGGAUUAUGUGUAUUGCAAAGGAUGAGAUAUCCAGGAGAGGAUUCACUUCUAAGAGACAACAACAGACUAUUUUUUUCUAGGUAUAAUUUAUUAUAGUGCUUGUAUAAUCCUGAUCAUUGAACUAACAUCUUAAUGUUGAAGAAAUUGAGAUCAGAGACAAAUUGCUAGAAAAUUUAAUUUGAAAAACAUAGUGAAUUAGCGC
rnacentral:lncRNA from 1 species